GUUAAUUUAUUGUAACAAAAUAAUUAUUCAUGAUAAUUGUCCUUAAUUUCAGAUCAUGCAUUUUCACUUUUAAUCCUGUGCAAUCUACAGCUUAACAUCUAUCCAUUUUAUUUUUUUUAUUAUUGUUUUAAGCAGAAUUUAAUUAUGCUGGUAAACUGGUCCAGUGCAUAUCAAGUAGAACUAGCUCAAUAAGACGUGCUAUAAUCCUGCAUAGUCCUCAAUGCAAUUCAUUUAGAGUUUUUUUGUAUUUGUAGUGUCUGUUUAUCAUUUAUAUAGAGUAUUGGUAAUAGGUC